GAUGAACACUAGCGGGAGGCCUAACACAUGCAAGCCGAGCGGUAUUUGUUCUUCGGAACAGAGAGAGCGGCGCACGGGUGCGGAACACGUGUGCAACCUGCCUUUAUCUGGGGGAUAGCCUUUCGAAAGGAAGAUUAAUACCCCAUAAUAUAUUGAGUGGCAUCAUUUGAUAUUGAAAACUCCGGUGGAUAGAGAUGGGCACGCGCAAGAUUAGAUAGUUGGUGAGGUAACGGCUCACCAAGUCAAUGAUCUUUAGGGGGCCUGAGAGGGUGAUCCCCCACACUGGUACUGAGACACGGACCAGACUCCUACGGGAGGCAGCAGUGAGGAAUAUUGGACAAUGGGUUAGCGCCUGAUCCAGCCAUCCCGCGUGAAGGACGACGGCCCUAUGGGUUGUAAACUUCUUUUGUAUAGGGAUAAACCUACUCUCGUGAGAGUAGCUGAAGGUACUAUACGAAUAAGCACCGGCUAACUCCGUG
rnacentral:rRNA from 1 species